rnacentral:rRNA from 1 species
AUUGAACGCUGGCGGCAGGCCUAACACAUGCAAGUCGAACGAGCUGCGGACGGGUGAGUAAUGUCUGGGUAACUGCCCGCUAGCGGGGGAUAACUACUGGAAACGGUAGCUAAUACCGCAUACUAUCGUAUGGACACAUAUGGGAUUGGCUAGUAGGUGGGGUAAAGGCUCACCUAGGCCACGAGCACUAGCUGGUCUGAGAGGAUGACCAGCCACACUGGAACUGAGACACGGUCCAGACUCCUACGGGAGGAAGAAGUGGGGAAUAUUGCACAAUGGGCGCAAGCCUGAUGCAGCCAUGCGGCGUGUAUGAAGAAGGCCUUAGGGUUGUAAAGUACUUUCAGCGGGGAGGCGUUACCCGCAGAAGAAGCACCGGCUAACUCCGUGCCAGCAGCCGCGGUAAUUC